CCUACGGGAGGCAGCAGUGAGGAAUAUUGGUCAAUGGACGAGAGUCUGAACCAGCCAAGUAGCGUGAAGGAUGACUGCCCUAUGGGUUGUAAACUUCUUUUAUAUGGGAAUAAAAUGUUCCACGUGUGGGAUUUUGUAUGUACCCUAUGAAUAAGGAUCGGCUAACUCCGUGCCAGCAGCCGCGGUAAUACGGAGGAUCCGAGCGUUAUCCGGAUUUAUUGGGUUUAAAGGGAGCGUAGGUGGAUUGUUAAGUCAGUUGUGAAAGUUUGCGGCUCAACCGUAAAAUUGCAGUUGAAACUGGCAGUCUUGAGUACAGGAGAGGUGGGCGGAAUUCGUGGUGGAGCGGUGAAAUGCUUAGAUAUCACGAAGAACUCCGAUUGCGAAGGCAGUUCACUGGACUGCAACUGACACUGAGGCUCGAAAGUGUGGGUAUCAAACAGGAUUAGAUACCCGAGUAGUC
rnacentral:rRNA from 1 species